GAAAUGCGAUAAGUAGUGUGAAUUGCAGAAUUCAGUGAAUCAUCGAAUCUUUGAACGCACAUUGCGCCCUUUGGUAUUCCUUAGGCCAUGCCUGUUCGAGCGUCAUCUAAACCUUCAAGCCCUGCUUGGUGUUGGGUGCCUGUCCCGCCUCCGCGCGCGGACUCACCUCAAAUCCAUUGGCGGCCCCCGCGUCGGCCACGAGCGCAGCAGAAACGCGAACUCGUGAGCCCGUCCGGGCGGCUCCCAGAAGCUACACCCACCCAGUUUGACCUCGGAUCAGGUAGGGAUACCCGCUGAACUUAAGC
rnacentral:misc_RNA from 1 species